rnacentral:lncRNA from 1 species
GAUGAUAGAACAAGUAACCAAGUCGGGCUCUUAGAUCAUAGUAGUGAUGCCAGUAUGUGUAGAAAAUCAGUAGGAGAGGAUGAUGCCCAAUCCGUUCUUAUCUCAGUGCAAGGUUUCUCAGUUAUUAUGUUAUCUACUCAUGCCGUACAUGUCAGUUCCAUAAUCAUAGUUCAUGUUCAUACACAUUAUAAAGAAUUAUGUACGCUUCCAGUCCCUAGUAUAAGGAGUUCCAGUUUUC